CAUGGAGGCAGAGGUUAAUGCAAGUGUUUAGCAGAUGCUGUUCGGCAAAAUCUUCUUUUUAAAUAAACUCAUUAAAACAAAAUAUUGGAUCAUUUCAACCCAGCUUGCUAAAUUAAUGUACAUACCACGACAUCUAUUCAUCCGAACCAGUUAUAUGCCUGAAAUCAGUUGCAUGCUUGUUUAACUAGCCUGAUUGGAAUAAUGCAAUAAGUUAGGCUUCUGCAUCCACCGGUUAAGUCUCUUCGAAUUGGAUGAGCAAGAAGAGCAAGAGACGAGGAAAGUCUCUUAAUAAUAUACUGGAACUGAGUACAUGGCAUUUGGUCAUGUAAAGCUCAGCGGAUGAUCUGUGCCAGCAGAGGAAUCCUACGGAGGGCGCAAUUCAGCAGCAGCGUCUUCACCUUCCCUGAGUGCAAUAUGAAGUGUAUAGCUAUCUGCUGUACAAGACACAGCCCAAAGAAGCAAAGCUUCACAAUUGUUUUUCGGUCCCAGUGGUUGUCAUUGUAGUUCAUCAUAUGUGCAGACACGCUAUACGCUCCCCCUUUCUUCUCCCGAACAGCCAGAGAACAGCUCAAACAUUUAUUUUGCAUCUUACUUGUCUUCCCCCCCUCCCCGCGAAAAGAUUCAAAGUGCAUGAUAGCGGUUGGAAAAACAUUUUUCAGCUUUGUCGUGUGUGCUAUUUUUGAAAGCAGUCAGAAUUAAACUAAAUAUUUAAAAAAGAGUAGAUAGCUCAUGGUUUUGUGAAAAAUACUGAUCUUUUCAUAUAUUUAUUUUCUUCUGUUUAUCCAAGACAAAUAAAAGUAAACAGGCCAUAAGGGUUUAAUGAAAUUAAACAGGCCAGAGGAAUAGAACCGCAUGUUUUAUGUUUUAGGAGACUGACCUCCUAAUAAGUGUUGUCCUUUUCUAAACCCCAUUUUACAUUAUUUUUAAAAUAGAGAGGUGAAUUUAACAAACCAUCAAACACACAAAAGCUCCUGGAGGGGGGGGAGUAGAUUAAAAUAUAAAGCAAAGAAUCAAUGGAAUCUAUAGCUUUGAAAACUGAAAUAUAGUAUAAUACCUGGUAAAUUAAAGAAUUUCGCAUACCAAUGUCUUCCCUAAAGAACCAAAUUCAUCCAGCAUUGUCCAAUUCUCAACAUUAGUUUAAUAACUUAAAAAAUAAUAAUCCAUGGUGUACAUUGGCUGGAUAACCUUAUUCUGAAAAGCCUUCCUAGCACGGGUAAUUCUUACUCAAGGAAGUAGUUACCCUUACUCAAUGGGACAAUUGUCUUGAGUAACAACAGCUCAUGUAAGUAAGGAUUUGCAGGAUCGGGCCCAAGAGGUAUCUCUAGCAUCUUUCAUGAAUAAGCUAAUGAAUUUUUCUAUUCUGAUUUUAGAAUGAUCUUGCUUAGAAGAUUGUUGUUCCUAAUUAGGUUCUAAGUAAUCUAAACAAAACACACAAUUUUAGUGUUUAAGUUCUCCUUUACCUUAUCCCUCCAAAAUAUUAUGGAACACAGAAUCUUGGCUUUUUGAAUGCGGAAUUAAAAUCUGGCCCGUGGCUGGAAAUGUUUAGAUCAGGUACCCCCAGCUUCUUCUAACUACAGUACCUGGCUGGGAGCAGAGGAGCAGAAAGAUGGAGCUUUUUUGUGGGUGGUUAAAAACGGAGGCCUUUACAAGCCAACUCUGGUUUGACCCCUUCACCUCAUGGGAGGAGCCAGGGUUCCCCUUAUCCCUGUUUGUGCCCUAACUACCUCACAGCAAGCACUGUCUCCCCGUGAAUCGUUUGAAAAGUUUAGAUGUGUUCAAAUUUAUAGAGUGCAUAAUGUCAUUGACCUGAGACCAAAUAUAUUAGAAAGAGAGAUAAUUCUCAAAUAUAUUUUGAAGUGUCUAAGUACCAAGUGCCCUAUGGAUGGCAAGCUACAUACUACUAAACCUCCAGUUAGAAGUCCAUAAACUAAACUCAACAUAGAAACCCUGCAAUAAUAUGGAGUUUUGAAGGGACGCUGGAGAAAUAUCAUUUGAAGUCAAACCUGUCAAUUCGCGUUAAUGAAAAUAACUCUUGCCACGUUAGUUGCACUCAGUUACACUCAUGCAGCCACAUCACUGAUUUCAACGGGUCUAGCAAAGGGCAGAAUUUGGCCCUGCAAGUCUGCUUUAAUUGCUGCAGAUGGACGUAUAGGAACCCUGGUGUUCGUUACUAUUAUCAGUACUGAAGGGUGCAAAUAUUUAAGGCAUGAUAAUCUGUGCCAUUAAGUAUGUAUUUUAUACAUACGCGUAUAUAAACCCCAACAACAAGAUAGCGUUCACUUUGUAAGUUUAAAUGAUGUGCAAUAAACCCACAAACACACCAAUUUUACCCCUGCAUGUGUGAGUAAUUAUUCAAAGAUUGCUUCUAUUUGGGACGAAGGAUACAGAGUUGUAUUGAUGCCACUUAAAAGAAUUUAAGAAACCCAGUGAUCCCCAGAAGAAUAAUAAAGCCUUCAUAAAAUACUCUAUUGAACAGACAAUAUUUCUUAUUGAGUUUGUGGUGUUCACAUAGUUUCCCCUCGUUUAAUGUUUGCAUUCCUGGGGGAACUGUGUUUUGAAGCUGCUUUUAAAAUCAGUGCUGAUGGGAUUGCUUGGCCGAAAGGAAUUGUUUUGAUCAAUAAAUAUUUUCCUGAUAACAUUAGGUUUACGUGCUUGCGGGAAACAAAGAUUAGCCUGGCAUUACUUUAGUUGUAUGCUAACAAAAAAUAAGCACUUUUAUUGUCAAUAUUAAUGGAGACCCUCAACUUAGGUUUGGUUUUAAGCAGUGUUCAGAGAUAAAAAGCAACCCUAUUUGACCUAAAAAUAUCCCACUUCAGCUUCGACAAUUAACUGUAAUUUUGCCCAAACUGCCACAAUGUUAACGUCGUACUUUCUGUGCCACUCGGUUCAUCUACCUGCUGUAACAUAUUGUGCUAUGACUUGCCCACUAAUUAUUCAAAUACAAAGACUUGUGGUUGAAAGCAGCUGCCAACAGCAAAUGUUGUGUAACACACUCGUUCAGGAGCAUCAGUGUGUUUAGCUGCAACCACCACAAUUCCUAUAUAUGUAUCUACAUGUAAUUGAUCUAGUUGAGUGACGUCCUUUUUGGUAAUUUGGAUACACCAAGUCUCCAGUUAAUGACACAUAAUCAGCCUUUAGGUCACUUGGUCAUUCUCUUAUUACAAACCCCUCCUGCUCUCUCUGAUCUCCUUUCAAACUAAAUUUCACACAAACAAAUAAAGUAAGACAGGGACAAGGGAGAAAUAUUGGAAAACUUUUGAUAGAGCACUAUAAACAUUUGAGAAGAAAAUCUAAAAGAGGAUAGGAAAGAACAUCUUAUCAAAAAGAGAGCAUUGUGUACAAAACUUGAAGAGAAAAAGUUUCUGGCUUAUGUUAGAAAUGACACAAAAUUAAAAUAAAAAUAAUUACUAACAGAAAUGUCAUAACAUAAACACAGAAGGCAGGAGACUUACUGGAAAUGCGCACCAGUAGUGUAAUUUAUUGUUAUAGAUUAUACAACCGAUAUGUGAUUCGAAAAAUGUUUCUUUGACUCACUUUGACCAGCAAAACCUUUUUAUUUUUUACACUUAUUUUAUUAAAGCGAAACUGAACAAACUGAGAAAUAAAGACCAAAAUGUAAUUUACUUGUAAAAAUCUAUAGAAAAAAAAAUGAAACGACUUCAUGGAUAUAGCAUUGUGUUAACGUGAUAAUAAAAAUCAAUA